ACGCUCGACACCUACGGAGGCAGCAGUGGGGAAUAUUGCACAAUGGGGGAAACCCUGAUGCAGCGACGCCGCGUGAGCGAAGAAGUAUUUCGGUAUGUAAAGCUCUAUCAGCAGGGAAGAAACUGACGGUACCUGACUAAGAAGCACCGGCUAAAUACGUGCCAGCAGCCGACGGUAAUCUGAGCGGGCUGGACAAGGC
rnacentral:rRNA from 1 species